rnacentral:rRNA from 1 species
GGAAGCGAGUGGCGAACGGCUGAGUAACACGUGGAGAACCUGCCCCCUCCCCCGGGAUAGCCGCCCGAAAGGACGGGUAAUACCGGAUACCCCCGGGCGCCGCAUGGCGCCCGGGCUAAAGCCCCGACGGGAGGGGAUGGCUCCGCGGCCCAUCAGGUAGACGGCGGGGUGACGGCCCACCGUGCCGACAACGGGUAGCCGGGUUGAGAGACCGACCGGCCAGAUUGGGACUGAGACACGGCCCAGACUCCUACGGGAGGCAGCAGUGGGGAAUCUUGCGCAAUGGGGGGAACCCUGACGCAGCGACGCCGCGUGCGGGACGGAGGCCUUCGGGUCGUAAACCGCUUUCAGCAGGGAAGAGUCAAGACUGUACCUGCAGAAGAAGCCCCGGCUAACUACGUGCCAGCAGCCGCGGUAAUACGUAGGGGGCGAGCGUUAUCCGGAUUCAUUGGGCGUAAAGCGCGCGUAGGCGGCCCGGCAGGCCGG